rnacentral:sRNA from 1 species
CAGCGAUCCAGCGAAAGAAAAGAGAAGUGACAGAAACAACUUUACCUGGACUGAAGAUAAAAGCACAGACAAGAGAACAAUGCCCUGGACAUGGCUCCAGAGAUCCACAUGACAGGCCCAAUGUGCCUCAUUGAGAACACUAACAGGGAACUGGUGGCGAAUCCAGAAGCUCUGAAGAUCCUGUCUGCCAUUACACAGCCUGUGGUGGUGGUGGCAAUUGUGGGCCUCUACCGCACAGGAAAAUCCUACCUGAUGAACAAGCUGGCUGGGAAGAAUAAGGGUGAGUGGCAUGAGCAAAGCUCUGCCAAGUCCCUUCUGUCCCCCAACACAGUCAGCAUCCAUUAUGAGGAUGUGAGGAGAGAAAGCUGGCACUGGGAAUAAGCUAACUUUCCAUUCACAGUUGGGCUCCUUAUCUUCACUCUUCUAGGGCAUAAGCAUCAGCUCACGGCUGUUCUGAAGGUAGUGAGUUAUCUCAAUUGACUGUUCACCAUGAGUUACAGUUGAACUCCUUG